GAUGAACGCUGGCGGCGUGCCUAAUACAUGCAAGUCGAGCGUACGGACGAGAAGCUUGCUUCUCUGAUGUUAGCGGCGGACGGGUGAGUAACACGUGGAUAACCUACCUAUAAGACUGGGAUAACUUCGGGAAACCGGAGCUAAUACCGGAUGAUAUUUUGAACCGCAUGGUUCAAAAGUGAAAGACGGUCUUGCUGUCACUUAUAGAUGGAUCCGCGCUGCAUUAGCUAGUUGGUAAGGUAACGGCUUACCAAGGCAACGAUGCAUAGCCGACCUGAGAGGGUGAUCGGCCACACUGGAACUGAGACACGGUCCAGACUCCUACGGGAGGCAGCAGUAGGGAAUCUUCCGCAAUGGGCGAAAGCCUGACGGAGCAACGCCGCGUGAGUGAUGAAGGUCUUCGGAUCGUAAAACUCUGUUAUUAGGGAAGAACAUAUGUGUAAGUAACUGUGCACAUCUUGACGGUACCUAAUCAGAAAGCCACGGCUAACUACGUG
rnacentral:rRNA from 1 species